GAUGAACGCUGGCGGCGUGCUUAACACAUGCAAGUCGAACGGUGAACCAGGGCUUGCCCUGGGGAUCAGUGGCGAACGGGUGAGUAACACGUGACCAACCUGCCCUUGGCUCUGGGAUAACCCCGGGAAACCGGAGCUAAUACCGGAUACGAGUUCGUGCGGCAUCACACGAACUGGAAAGUUUUUCGGCCAAGGAUGGGGUCGCGGCCUAUCAGCUAGUUGGUGGGGUAACGGCCCACCAAGGCGACGACGGGUAGCCGGCCUGAGAGGGCGACCGGCCACACUGGGACUGAGACACGGCCCAGACUCCUACGGGAGGCAGCAGUGGGGAAUAUUGCGCAAUGGGCGAAAGCCUGACGCAGCGACGCCGCGUGAGGGACGACGGCCUUCGGGUUGUAAACCUCUUUCAGCAGGGAAGAAGCGAAAGUGACGGUACCUGCAGAAGAAGCACCGGCUAACUACGUGCCAGCAGCCGCGGUAAAAC
rnacentral:rRNA from 1 species